CUGAACAAAAUGGCUGACAUUACUCGGUAUCCUUCUUUAACCUCUGCCAUCCCUUCCUGGUGUUGUGUCCUGCAGUACAGAGAGGAGAGGGGAAAAAAAAUCCCAAUUCCUGGUCUCUAUGGAAACAGCAGUCAGUGGGGGCAGUUUCAUCUGAAGGUGAAACCGACUGACUCUAGAAGAAGCGGCCUCCUGCAAUUGGCUGUUUGUGGACUCGACGUCGCUACCUUUCACAACUGAUAUUCAGUCUCCCAAGUAACCGGAACAUCGACAUACCGGGCUGAAAGACCGAAGAAUCGGCCAGCCAGUUUGAUCAGCAUGUGUGAAACUGCACUGAGCAUCAGCUCGGAAGGUUCUGAGAUGAACUGCAACACAAAAUAUAGA